CAGUCGCCGCGGUAAUACGGAGGGUGCAAGCGUUAAUCGGAAUUACUGGGCGUAAAGCGCACGCAGGCGGUCUGACAAGUCAGAUGUGAAAUCCCCGGGCUUAACCUGGGAACUGCAUUUGAAACUGUCAGGCUGGAGUCUUGUAGAGGGGGGUGGAAUUCCAGGUGUAGCGGUGAAAUGCGUAGAGAUCUGGAGGAAUACCGGUGGCGAAGGCGGCCCCCUGGACAAAGACUGACGCUCAGGUGCGAAAGCGUGGGGAGCAAACAGGAUUAGACCCCUGUAGUCCCUGUCUCUUAUACAC
rnacentral:rRNA from 1 species